GCCGAUGUAGCUCAGUUGGCAGAGCACAUCCAUGGUACGGACACGGUGCCGGUUCGAUUCCGGCCAUCGGCUCCA
rnacentral:tRNA from 1 species